GGAAAUCUAAAAUUCACUGGGGUUUUAAAUUGUAGAGUCAAAGUGUUGCUUUUUUUUCUUUUUUGAUGUGAUAAAGUUUUGAGAGCUAUACUCCAGCAUGUUCAAAAACCCAGUCUCCAAUCCACCACAUCUACAAUCGUGCACCUGGUUUAAAUACAGUGCUUCAUUUUGGCAACUUCAAUAUUUGCUGAAAUGAAGAUGUGGAGAACUUUUCGACCUUUUGGCUGAAAAUAAUUUCUCAUUUCUGAUGUCUUCCAACAUCAUAGUUAUUUAUCAUUUUACCGACUCGACUGACCGGCUUGUUCCUGGAUGCAUCACUUCUCCUGCAGAGUCUCACUGGUAUCAGCAGAAGCCAGGCUGACCCCCUGACCUGGAACCAGUGCUGCUCCAGAAACAACAAAUCAUAGUCAUGUUAAGUCUAAAACAUGAUGGAGGGAUUUAGUUUCUCAGACAGACUCUCAUCCAGAGUGCUCACAUUUCUAUUGUAUGAUUGUGUUUGAAGUUCUGGGCACCAUUCAUUUCACGCCCCAGGUGUCCGUUCUGAUUUGAGAGAGAUAAGGUGAAAUAUGAAAUUCACAACAGCAGAACACACAUGGUCUCCCUCAGAGAUGUGUCAUAGCUUGACUUCAGGUGUCUUUUCUUGGCAUCCUGUGACUGUAGACAGAUAUCACGGGAGCAGAGGUGUCAGCUACAGGGACCCCAACUCCAGCUCUCCCCUUGCUUUUCCUUUCCCUCCACCUGAUAUGAGUGAAGUGGAGGUGAAGGCUUCACCGCCCCCAUCCCCACAUCUCCCUCCCUCCCUCUCCUGUGGCAACAGUGGAGUGAAGAUGAUUGAUGUGCUCCGGUGGGAGUGGAGGUGUAGAGCCUGGAUCAUCAUCAGCCCUGGCACAGAGCAGAGAUCUCUGAGGACGCACCAAAGGGAGUUUUCUGUCAGGAAGGGAGCCAGCUAUGAAGACGGAAGCUGUUUAAAGUGGAGACAAAGCACCAGGUGCUACUGGGGACCAAUCUGCUCCACAACAAUGUGCUGGAGCUCAUCCAAUCUGCCCAAUAAGCUUCCACAGACACUCUGUGAGUGAAAGAAUGGAGGAGGAGCCCCAGUCUCCUGUCUUCCCACCUCAUUACCCACACCUGGAUAGGACUGCGGGGGAUUCUAAUUUAAGUCACUCGUUAGCAACGUCCUAAUGUGUUCUGACAGCAACAAGAGAAGGGGAUGGAGAAAAGGUGAAAGAGAAAGAUCGAAGGAGAAAGAGGGUGAGGGAGGGAGGGAGAAGAUGGGAGGAACAAAGGCACAGACAAUUGUCUUGACAAACAACUGCAGGACAGAAUACCAGGAGGAGGGGACGCGACUGUGCAAUACAAGAACUGUUCUUAUUUCUUGUUUUGAUUUCCAUAAAAUGAGCAUCAUCCUAAAUCAUCGGGGCCCUCCGCUGCUGGCCUCGUAUGCAUAAACCAUUAGAUUCCUUUGCUAAUGCACACAAACUAAUGAACACAAUAUCGUUUUCCACCACUGUAUGCCACAGCACAACAGGAAAUCAAAUAAAAGC